rnacentral:rRNA from 1 species
GACGAACGCUGGCGGCGUGCUUAACACAUGCAAGUCGAACGGAAAGGCCAUGAUCUUGCGGGGUGCUCGUGUGGCGAACGGGUGAGUAAAACGUGUGUAACAUGCCCCUGAAUUUGGGAUAUAAUCAGGAAAAUGGGGAUAUUAUAGGAUAGGAGCUACUGCUGCAUGGUGGGGGUUGGUAAGUUUCGGCGGUUGGGGAUGGACUAGAGGCUUAUCCGCUUGUUGGUGGGGUAGUGGCUUACCAAGGCUUCGACGGGUAGCCGGCCUGAGAGGGUGACCGGCCACAUUGGGACUGAGAUACGGCCCAGACUCCUACGGGAGGCAGCAGUGGGGAAUAUUGCACAAUGGGCGGAAGCCUGAUGCAGCAACGCCGCGUGCGGGAUGACGGCCUUCGGGUUGUAAACCGCUUUCGCCUGUGACGAAGCGUGAGUGACGGUAAUGGGUAAAGAAGCACCGGCUAACUACGUG